UCAAUCCUACGGGGGGCAGCAGUGAGGAAUAUUGGUCAAUGGGCGCGAGCCUGAACCAGCCAAGUCGCGUGAGGGAAGACGGUCCUAUGGAUUGUAAACCUCUUUUGUCGGGGAGCAAAAGACGCCACGUGUGGCGUUCCGAGAGUACCCGAAGAAAAAGCAUCGGCUAACUCCGUGCCAGCAGCCGCGGUAAUACGGAGGAUGCGAGCGUUAUCCGGAUUUAUUGGGGUUAAAGGGUGCGCAGGCGGGCUUUUAAGG
rnacentral:rRNA from 1 species